AGCGAACGCUGGCGGCAGGCUUAACACAUGCAAGUCGAGCGGGCAUCCUUGUGGUGUCAGCGGCAGACGGGUGAGUAACGCGUGGGAACGUGCCCUUCGGUUCGGAAUAACUCAGGGAAACUUGAGCUAAUACCGGAUACGUGCGAGAGCAGAAAGGUUUAUCUGCCGAAGGAUCGGCCCGCGUCUGAUUAGCUAGUUGGUGAGGUUAUGGCUCACCAAGGCGACGAUCAGUAGCUGGUCUGAGAGGAUGAUCAGCCACACUGGGACUGAGACACGGCCCAGAAUCCUACGGGAGGCAGCAGUGGGGAAUAUUGGACAAUGGGGGCAACACUGAUCCAGCCAUGCCGGGUGAGUGAUGACGGCCUUAGGGUUGUAAAGCUCUUUUCUCCGGGACGAUAAUGACGGUACCGGAGGAAUAAGCCCCGGCUAACUUCGUG
rnacentral:rRNA from 1 species